UACGGAGGGGACUAGCGUUGUUCGGAAUUACUGGGCGUAAAGCGCACGUAGGCGGAUUUGUAAGUCAGGGGUGAAAUCCCGGGGCUCAACCCCGGAACUGCCUUUGAUACUGGGUAUCUCGAGUCCGAGAGAGGUGAGUGGAACUGCGAGUGUAGAGGUGAAAUUCGUAGAUAUUCGCAAGAACACCAGUGGCGAAGGCGGCUCACUGGCCCGGUACUGACGCUGAGGUGGCGAAAGCGUGGGGAGCAAACAGG
rnacentral:rRNA from 1 species